GAGAGCGGCGCACGGGUGCGGAACACGUGUGCAACCUGCCUUUAUCUGGGGGAUAGCCUUUCGAAAGGAAGAUUAAUACCCCAUAAUAUAUUGAGUGGCAUCACUUGAUAUUGAAAACUCCGGUGGAUAGAGAUGGGCACGCGCAAGAUUAGAUAGUUGGUGAGGUAACGGCUCACCAAGUCAAUGAUCUUUAGGGGGCCUGAGAGGGUGAUCCCCCACACUGGUACUGAGACACGGACCAGACUCCUACGGGAGGCAGCAGUGAGGAAUAUUGGACAAUGGGUGAGAGCCUGAUCCAGCCAUCCCGCGUGAAGGACGACUGCCCUAUGGGUUGUAAACUUCUUUUAUACUGGGAUAAACCUACCCUUCGUGAGGGUAGCUGAAGGUACAGUAUGAAUAAGCACCGGCUAACUCCGUGCCAGCAGCCGCGGUAAUACGGAGGGUGCAAGCGUUAUCCGGAUUUAUUGGGUUUAAAGGGUCCGUAGGCGGACUCGUAAGUCAGUGGUGAAAUCUCAUAGCUUAACUAUGAAACUGCCAUUGAUACUGCGGGUCUUGAGUAAAGUAGAAGUGGCUGGAAUAAGUAGUGUAGCGGUGAAAUGCAUAGAUAUUACUUAGAACACCAAUUGCGAAGGCAGGUCACUAUGUUUUAACUGACGCUGAUGGACGAAAGCGUGGGGAGCGAACAGGAUUAGAUACCCUGGUAGUCCACGCCGUAAACGAUGCUAACUCGUUUUUGGGUUUUCGGAUUCAGAGACUAAGCGAAAGUGAUAAGUUAGCCACCUGGGGAGUACGUUCGCAAGAAUGAAACUCAAAGGAAUUGACGGGGGCCCGCACAAGCGGUGGAUUAUGUGGUUUAAUUCGAUGAUACGCGAGGAACCUUACCAAGGCUUAAAUGGGAAUUGACAGGUUUAGAAAUAGAUCCUUCUUCGGACAAUUUUCAAGGUGCUGCAUGGUUGUCGUCAGCUCGUGCCGUGAGGUGUUAGGUUAAGUCCUGCAACGAGCGCAACCCCUGUCACUAGUUGCCAUCAUUCAGUUGGGGACUCUAGUGAGACUGCCUACGCAAGUAGAGAGGAAGGUGGGGAUGACGUCAAAUCAUCACGGCCCUUACGCCUUGGGCCACACACGUAAUACAAUGGCCGGUACAGAGGGCAGCUACUAUGCGAAUAGAUGCGAAUCUCGAAAGCCGGUCUCAGUUCGGAU
rnacentral:rRNA from 1 species